UCUCUGCUAGUAUAUCGGCUAGUACACGCGCCUGUCAUCGGGUAAAGGUAGACCGCGCGAAAGCUGGGUUCGACUCCCAGGCAGAGAG